CAGAGUUCUCUAACGCCAAAGCCCAUACCUUGCUCCUUCAGGUUGCUUCAAAUGAUACUGUAGGUUUUCAUAAAAACAAAAUCACAAUCCUACUUCAAUAUAGCCUCUCAGAGUAAAAGUCACAGAUGGUACACAGAUGGCCCAGACUCAGCCAGGCCCUAUAAAACCAAAGAAGAGUGGUCAGGAUCAUCACUGAGCACAUACCAUGUGGUCUCCACCUAAGAACAUUUUAAAAAAGAGGUCCUGUGACUCAGUUGCCCUCAGCACAACAACAAAGAAAGACAUAGAAAUUUUAAUGUAGAGAAUCCCUUCUACGUGUUCAGUGAAUCACUCUCAAACAGCAUGUGAGAUUUUGCACCAAAAGAAUGUUCCAUCCUAAACUUGGGAAAGAAGCAGAGAAGCCAUCUUUACUAACAAAAAAAUGGUUGAAGAUAUUAAAUCUGUCUGAUUCCAAAGUUACCAAAUCACUCUCAAGAUCUCUCUUUUACUUUCCAGAAAAAAAUACCAGAGUUUUAUUAGCUUACAAUUCUCAUUAGAAGUCUAGGUUAAAAUACGCUAACUUUUACAACUAUAUCCCACAGAAGUCCGCUCACAAAUAUCAUCUAUCAGUCAACCUAACUAAGGUCAUAUAUCAGUGAGCUCUUGAUGAAUGUCGGUGACAGAUUGUUUUUAAUGGUAUCAGUAAACUAGAUCUCAUGUAUACUUUUGCAACCUUCCACACACAAUAAUUUUGAACCCUUUAAA